AUGGAGUAAAUGAUAGUGAUGGUGAAAAUGCAUAAGUGAUAAUAAUAAAAUGUAGUUCUCAUUGCUCCUUCUAUUGCUAUCUCUCCUCUUCUUUGAUCUUUGCUUUGGGAGAACAUGGGCUAUCUUUUUCUUCUUCUCUUUCUUUUUUUUAAGGUGGGUAGUAGAUACCCCUAAUAAUACUGUCGGACACUUGUCCAUUUUUUCCGCUCAAGUGGGCAUCUUUGUACCCCUAAUUCUACUCCAGACACUUGUCCAGUUUUACCUCUCAUCUCACUCUUUUUCUUUCUUUUUCGAGGUUCCGGGCACUUGCCCCUUUUUAUUUCCUCGUAUAUUUUUGCAUAACCCAUGCCUCUUCUGCAUUAAAUCUUUUUAGAGAGAGAAUAACAAUAUUCGGGACAGUGAGUGAUUAUAUUUUUAGCAAUUUUAAUGAUUGGUGAUGAAUGCUGUGGUAGAUGUGUGCAAGUGAAUAUCUUAAUUUAACCACAUGAAAAGCUCCUAAGGGUCUACACAGCUCGAUUAAACUCAAUGUGAAUAUAGUAAAAGAUGUUAUAGCAAGUAUGGCUGUGGUAGGUAGUUUUGUUAUGCUAGGAACUCAUCAUGUGAUUUGUAAGUUUUCAAAAUAAAUCUCCAGAACUUAGUGUAGUAGGGAUAAGAUAAACAGUAGCUCAACUUUAUAUCAUGUCUUUCUUUUACCUAGACAUUAGUUUUAUGCUUCCCAAAGAUAGUAAUUUUAGUUUUAGUAAUUCCUGGAAGAAUUCUAAUAUAAAAGCUAGGUACUUGUAAGUAAGCAAACAGAGCAACUGUUCAUCAUUUCCAUCAUGCAUAUUUUUGGUCUUUUUAUUUUUUCUAGAGAUUGAACUUAGCAGGUAAAUAAAGCACACUUAUCUACACACUCUUUUUAUUUUGUUUUCAUGUUUAUAAAGUGCAGUAAAUUAAAGCAAGAAAAUAUUUAUUUGGUUUUCUAAGUUUUUUUUUCCUUUUAAGAUAAAUUAAAUACUAAGACAAAAUAGAAUAAAUAAGAAGAGCAAAUAGAAACUUACUUGAUAAAUUGGGGAGAAACUCCCCCAAGCUGGAUGUUGACGUCGGUCUUACCUGAUGUUCCAGAACCGCAUCAUGGUUGUGAUGUUGUCGUUCAUUGUUGUUGUAUCUUGUCUCAGCUCUUCUACUGCAGCUGCAUGGUCCUGGUUCCAUUUUUGUUGCUCUUCCAGGAAUCUUCCAUGUUCUGCUUGCGUGUUCUGGAUGUCGAGGAGGGUGUUGUCGGUACGAGUGAAGAAAGCACCGGCCUCUUGGUAAUAGUCAUUCGUGAAGGCAUAGGAGGCAUCGGAGUAUCGUCCUGCAUCAACUUGGGGUGGAGGUCUGGAUCCUGAAGCUCCAUAUGGAUCAGUGGAGUACCUGCCCGUAUGAAAAGGCGGGUUUGUCCACUGGUGAUCUUGGCUCUCCGGCCAUGUCUCCUCUGUUGGCUCUUGUGGUUGCGCAUGACGAGCCCAUGGGUCUCGAAGGACUCGUGGAUUGUAAUCGCAAUAAUACAGGUGCGCUGCUUCUUCUGGUCCAGGGUCAGCUCCAUACCAAGUGCAUUCUCGGUGAGUGGUUAUCCUUUCAGAUGCCACUCGCUGUGGAGUUCUCUGGUUCACUGGUGUUGCUGCAAUCUCAAUCAAAAAGUUUUGCACAGAGUAGAGGCCAAGGUUCGGGUUAGGUAACCGAAUCUUGCCUUUAUCAUCAUACAGCAUAUACAUUAUAUUCCCCUCUUUCUUUAACAUCCGAGCUUGUCUAAAUGUGUCAUAGCCAUGGUAAAUUCUUAAUUCUUCUAUGAAGUCCAACGAUGAAUUUUCUAGUAAGUGAAGAUUAGUGGCUAGACGAGUGAUAAGUGAAGUACACCCUACUGGUCCCUGCAGACUAGGUAUACUAAGCCAAUGUGAAACUAAUAAUGUAACAGGUGAAGUGGGUACUUUUCUAAUAGCAGCAUAUAAAAGUUGUAAAUCUCCUACUCUUACUUUCCUAAUAUCAUCACGAUAGAAAAGAUUGUACCCAAGCCAUUUGUGAAACAUCCUAAGAGUGGGGUGUUCCAUGUCACUGGUUCGGGCUUGGCUAUAAAAAUUAUCUCUAGAUAUUUCUCUCCAAAACUGGUGUCUCUCAAAAUUGGGUAAAUCGGAGUCAAUGUUCAGGAUGCAUCUUGAAGAGAAACCAAGAUGGUCGCUCAGCUCUCUCCAGGAUAACAUAAUUUCUUGUUUGAACAUCCGAAAAACAAUUCCCCCCUCAUAGUAUUGUAAGGUGCAAAGAAAUUCGAGGGUGAGAAGACGAGAUCCCAGUUCGGUUAUAUUCCAAAAAUUUGUCCAACCCAUCAUUUGAAAAAUUAAGUCAAAUUCAGUGUCCAUACCUGUUUCUCGUAGUAGGAUUGGAUCGAUAGUAGGGGUGUGAAUGAAAUCUUUGUUCUUCAGUUGCUGAUAGACUUCCUUCUCUCUUCGGGUCUUCAGUCCUAGGUCUCCUAUCUUGAGAAGGACCUUAACUUGAUGACCUGAUGAAGAUGACGGAGCUUGUGUGGGUGUCGGAUCGACACUCAUCUCUGAUGGCUGUGAGGAGUGUCGGGCGGAACUCCUUGUACCAAUGUUCUUGAGAGCCUUCCCUGCAUUCUUCACCUUCUUAAACAUCCUGCAAACAAAAGUUGGCAAAAACACAACUGGUGGAAAAUGUGAGAUAAAAUGUUAGUAGUCAGCCGUCCGGAGUGUCAGUAGUCCAGAGGUUAAUCGUUCAAGACAAGUUUCUAUUUUGGUAGAGCCUCCCCCUAAAACAACUUUUACUUCCGCUUAGACAACUACUUACUAGGUGAUAAUCACUCUCUGAAAAGAACUCCAACCUUCCCUUCCACUCUCCUCUUUCUCUCUACUCUCUUCUCUUCACUACAAAAGCUCCUUCUCGGGAGACUGAGAUUUAUGUGGUUUUCUGAAGUGUUUGUGUGAAGAGAAGGGAAGCUGGAGGUGGCCUUUUAUAGGCUGAGCAGGGGACAGGGCAGGCGCCCAAGGUAGGUGGGCGGGCGCCCACCCCUAGUGUCCAUCCUGGGUGUGCCUCCUCCACAUGCUUCCUUGCUUUGAUCUCACGCAGAAUAAUAUUGUGUUGGUAGCUGUUGGACGGUGGAAAGAUGUCAGGUGAGUGGAAACAUAUUGGUGGAUGAAAUUAUAUGAUGGGAUGUAUGUGAGGUGAAGUGUAUGACAUGUGGGACCCAAGGAAUGUGGGUCAUGCUUCUAGAAGAUCAAUAUAAAUAAAUAUAAUGCAAGAAAAUCUAUGAGAAUUGAAACUUAAUGAUAAUGGGAAAUAUUUUUGUGCCUCCAAAAUAAUUAAUAAAUAUGGGUUGUUACACACCACGAAUAUUAUUUAUAUGGGGAUUUUUUAUUAUUAUAAUUAUGCUAUGAAUAUAUAUGACUAAUGCAAGAUUUAACUAUGCAAGAAUUUAAAUAUGAGAAACUUAAUAAUGCGGGUAAAUACCGAUUUACCUCCCGGUGAGGGUUUGGGAUUUUUAGGUCCCCCAAGCUGGACCUCCAAAUCUUUUAAUCUUCUUAGUUACCUUCCUCCGGAGAUGGUGUCUUCAGUAGUUCUUCAUGAACUUCCUUCACUGUAGAGUCUCUCUCUGGUCUGGGUUUGAAUGUGAAGUGUUCUUCUUGUCCGUUUAUGUUGAACUUGAUUUCUCCCUUCCCGACAUCAAUGUGGGCAUUGGCAGUGCUCAAGAAUGGCCUUCCAAGGAUGAUGGACACCUUCGAGUCAGGACUCAUGUCCAGUACUACGAUGUCUACUGGCACCAGGAAAUCUCUGAUCUUGACUGGAAUGUUCUCGGCGAUGCCCAACGGGUGUCGAACCGAUUGAUCCGCUAGUUGUAGGCACAUUGAUGUUGGUUCUAAGUUUGCAUGAUCAAGCUUUUUGUAGACUGAUGCUGGCAUCACACUGACACUUGCUCCGAGAUCACAAAGUGCAUUGUUGAAGUGUUGGUUUCCAAUUAAGCAAUCAAUAGUGGGGCAUCCUGGAUCUUCCUUCUUCUUUGGUGGUUUGUUGAGGAUGGCCGCACUACAUUCUUCUGUCAGCUUGAUAACCUCAGUGGUGGGCAGUGGUCUCUUCUUGUUAAGAAUAUCUCUGAUGUACUUUGCAUAUGUAGGUACCUUUAUGGCAUCGAGCAGAGGUAUGUUGACAUAUAAUUUCUGAAUGACCUCUACAAACUUACCAAACUGCUCAUCCGACUGCAGUCCUCUGUUUCUUCUGGGAAAUGGCAAAUAGUUGGUGUCGUAAAAAUCUUUCCUCAUUUCUCCAUUUCUUGGUAGUUGUAGCAGAUCUUCUGCUUCAACUGGGCUUUUUUCUUCUAUCACUGCUGGUUGCACUGGUGCUAAUGUUCUUUGUUUCUCUUUUGGGUAUGGUGGAUCUCUGGUGGCUUUGCCUCCUCUAGUAGUUAUAUUCUUUACGUGCUCAAGGUUAGUAGCAACAGGCAGUGCAGCAGCUAUCUUUAUUAAUUUAAGCUCUACCUUUUUAUUAAGAGUGUUUUGCUCAUCAAAGGCAGUUAGUAAAAAAUCCAUUUUAUUGUGUAUAUCUUUUAGAGACGAUUCAUUUGUAUCUAGCCUUUGUUUAACUUCAUCAUAAAUUUUGGUUUGUUGAGCAAUUAUCUCUUUUAAUGAAAGUUGCUUGAUAGUAUUACCUGAAUUCAUACCUUUGCUAUUGGGUUGACUCGAAGUUGGUUGAUAUUUGUAUGCUGUCUCAAUGGCCCUUUGAUCUUCUUUGAACUUGGCCCUCUGGUCAAUCCAAUGGAGCAAAUUUUCCAUCUUAGUUGAUAAUGCAUUUACUUCUUCUGGUAUUUCUUCAGUUUGAUGACAUUGUUGAGCUUUAUCUUGGAACCAGCUUUGGUUUUCUGCUAUCUUAUCCAAAAGUAUCUCUACUUUUCCAGUUGUAAGCCCCAAGAAUGAUCCUUUAGCAGAUGCAUCUAGGCACUCACGAGCCUUCUGGGUUAAUCCAUGGUAGAAGGUCUGCAUAAGUAACCAUGUGGCCAUUCCAUGGUGAGGACAAUCUGAUAUGUAUCCUUGAAAACGCUCUCAUGCUUCUGAAAUGGCUUCUGUCUUCUGCUGUUGGAAAUUUACAAUAUUUCCUCUUAAGGCAGUUGUUUUGCCCAUAGGGAAAAACUUUGAUAGAAAGGCAUCUGACAAGUUCGUCCAGUUGUUGAUGUUAUCUUGAUGAGUGUAGAACCACUUCCUCGCUUUCCCUUCUAGUGAGAAUGGAAAAAGGCGAAGCAGUAUGACGUCUUUGUCAACUCCGUUGAUGUGGAUUGUGCUUCCAAUUUCUAAGAAAUUCUGCAAGUGUGCACUAGCAUCUUCAUGUGCAUUUCCACUUAAUUGUGUAGCUUGUACCAAAUUGAUGAGGCUUGACUUGAGCUCAAACUCGGGUAUUCCUUCUUCUACUGCAAAUCUUGGACCAGUUGGAAUGUUCUCAAGACUUGGAGCAGAGAAUUCUUGCAAGGUCUUGUGUGCCAUAGCUUCAACAAUUGGUAGCUAGCUUCUUCUUCUCUUGAUUGCUUUGGUUCUGAUGAUGAAGAGUUGAAUGUACCCAGAGUCAAUCCUAUUAUACCCUGUAUAAAAAUAUAAACAUAGAAAAACAACAGGGUGAACCUGCCAAAGCAGAGGUGCCUUGUUAUGAUUUCUCACUUAGUAGCUGUUUUAUGCAAUUAUUUCUCUAUAGUCUAGUCUAAUAUUUUAUAUGAAUAACCUUGACUGAUUUUCUGGCUUCCUUAAUAUUACCCUUUUGUUCCCUUUUAUGACUUAAUUCCUGAGAUUCGUAUAAUUCCUAUAAGUUCCCCGGCAACGGCGCCAGAAAUGCUUGUUGACACUAGCUAACACCACUUAGAUACUAGGUUGUCAUCCCUAGCAUGGCGCUAGAGUGUACAAAGGUAUUUAUAAAUGUAAAGGCUCUUUAGAAAAUAAUCCAUUCUAUCCGCAAGCGCACAGAUAAAACACCUCAUUGUAGCAUUUCACUAGGAUAAGUAUUCCAGGUAUCGUUAUUUAUAAUUUUGCUCUAGGGAUCUAAGGAGAUGGAAUUAAAUCAAGGGACAAAAUCUAUCAAGGCAUAGACUAGAGAUAAACUUGCAAGAACAUGAUUACUAAUAAGAAACUCAUCACACAGUCACAUACUUUAGCAGAGGGUAAACCAUAAAGAUAAUGAUAAUAAAGUAUAAGUUCAUGGGAUAAAGAGCACAGCGAUUAGAAAAUAGACUACACCUCAUAUAUGUAGGUGAUGUCGGAUUAGCUAGAGAAUGGAUUCUAAGUUAUCUACUAACUACUAAGUCAUAAUCUACUCUAGUUAUCUACAAGAUCAUAUAUAGCAUAAAAGACUCUUCAUUCAUGUAUAAGGAACAUUGAUAAAGUAAACCAGAACAUCGCAUGACUUACUCCACAAUACCGGUUCUGCCUGUCCUAUCAACGGAGGGUGGACUAUAUAAGAAUCAACGAAGCUGUCACUAUCGCGAACUACCACACGACUCGGCCAAUAGGAUACAUUUGCAGAUAAAUAACAUCUAAGCACCACGCUCACAUGUGAUCUAUCACCUAACUCCCUCGCGUCAAGAGCUAAGCGCUUUGCAAACUUAUACAUAAACUCAUUAUCAAUUAGAACUAUAUCAAAUAUAGAACUAGAGCAAACUAAGAGCAUAAUAAUUAGAGACAUAAUGCAAUUAGAACAAUAGAAUUAGAGAAAGAUAUGAAUAAUACCAAUCUUUAUUACCGAAGAUCCGAAUCCAGAGCGUAGUGCUCUACUUCUCUAAUUGCUAUCUAAUCAAACUCUAAACUUGAAGGAUUAUGGAGUAGCUAAUUCUAAUUCUCUGUGGGAGAGAAGCUCUAAACCCUAACUUUGAUGGCUACCUCUGAAUAAUGAUUUCUCCUCCUCUCCUCCAGGGGCCAGGGGGUCUGGUUUUAUAGUCCCCUCAAGUGAACGUGAGCCAUUGGAUCAAACUGACAUAGAUUGUAUGGUUUAGAUUGAUCCUUUAGGUCGGUGGAGUCUUGUCCCGAAGCAGAGUCCUGAUUGGCCUCUUGGCCAGGGCGGGCGCCCAAGGGGGGUGGGCGGCCGCCCAGCUCCCGAGCCAGAUUCGCUUCCCGUUCGUUCCCGUGGCUUCUGGAUCCUUCUAGAUUGAGGAAAAUUGCGCGGCACGUAAUUAUCUCGUUGUAAACAUGACAUGUGGGCCUUCUCUCCAUAUUUUCUGAUAACUCCCUGCAGAAAUAGAUAAACAUCAAAGCUCGUGGAAUUCUGUCAGAUAAAACCCUAAUUCUAGAUGUUUGUUUCAUAUUGAUCCUUUUUCAUGUUUAUUUGAUUAUUAAUUUUAGUACUUAAGGACCGUCAACAGCUGUGGUAGGAAUUUAAACUUUCAUCAUACAGGAACUCAUCAUGUGUUAUUUUAAAGAUUUU
rnacentral:lncRNA from 1 species